rnacentral:rRNA from 1 species
AUUGAACGCUGGCGGCAGGCCUAACACAUGCAAGUCGAACGGUAACAGGGAUCAGCUUGCUGAUUCGCUGACGAGUGGCGGACGGGUGAGUAAUGUCUGGGAAACUGCCUGAUGGAGGGGGAUAACUACUGGAAACGGUAUCUAAUACCGCAUAACGUCGCAAGACCAAAGAGGGGGACCUUCGGGCCUCUUGCCAUCGGAUGUGCCCAGAUGGGAUUAGCUAGUAGGUGGGGUAACGGCUCACCUAGGCGACGAUCCCUAGCUGGCCUGAGAGGAUGACCAGCCACACUGGAACUGAGACACGGUCCAGACUCCUACGGGAGGCAGCAGUGGGGAAUAUUGCACAAUGGGCGCAAGCCUGAUGCAGCCAUGCCGCGUGUAUGAAGAAGGCCUUCGGGUUGUAAAGUACUUUCAGCGGGGAGGAAGGGAGUAAAGUUAAUACCUUUGCUCAUUGACGUUACCCGCAGAAGAAGCACCGGCUAACUCCGUG